rnacentral:lncRNA from 1 species
ACUCAUAGAAAUCCCCAUAACUUUUUGUUAAAGAAACAAAAAACAGGCCAGUCACGGUGGCUCACGCCCAUAAUCUCAGCACUUCGGGAGGUGGAGGUGGGUGAAUCAUAAGAUCAGAAAAUCGAGACCAUCCAGGCUAACACGGUGAAAUCCAGUCUCUACUAAAAAUACAAAAAAUUAUCCAGGUGUGGUGGCACGCACCUGUAGUUCCAGCUACUCGGGAGACUGAGGCAGGAGGAUCGCUUGAACCUGGGAGGCGGAGGUUGUAGUGAGUCAAGAUCAUGCCACUGCACUCCAACCUGGAUGACACAGCAAGAGACUCCAUCUCAAAAACAAAAACAAAAAAAAGAAAAAAGAAAGAAAGAAUAGAAAUGAAAACACAGGCUGGGAAAAGUGGCUCCCGUCUGUUGGCCAGGCUGUUCUCAAACUCUUAACCUCCAGUGACCUACCAGUCUUGGCCUCUCAAAGUGCUGGCAUUGCAGGCGUGAGCCACAGUGCCCAGCCCAGUCCUCUUAACAUAAACAGUUUAAUGUCAAUUAAUGCUUAAACUCAAUGUUAAGUCAACUCAAACUCAGGUCAGUGCUCAUUUAACUGUAAUGUCAAUUAAUGCUUGAUGGCUUGCUAUACUAAUGGCAUUUGAAACAACUGUCUCCAAAAGGAAUUGUCUGAUGGUCUGCAAGGAGUGAUCUCGGACUGCAGACCUUACCACACUGAUGACAUUUGUAAGAUUUCUGUCCAGCAUGGAUUCUCUGAUGUCUAUUGAGGUGUGAAUGUGAAGCAAAGGCUUUGCCACAAUCAUCACACUUGUGAGUUUCUCUCCUGUAUGAAUUCUCCUAUGUUUUGCAUAGGAUGAAGCUUGACUGAAGACCUUGCCUCAAUCAUGACACUUGUAAGGUUUCUCUCCAGUAUGAGUUCGCUGAUGAACUGCAAGUUAUGAACGAUGUCUGAAAACUUUGCCACAUUUAUUAACACUUGUAAGAUCUCUCUUCAUUAGGGAUUCUCCAAUGAUUUGCAACAGUUCUAGCAUUACCAAAGGCAUUGUGACAAUCAUUGCAUUAGUAAACUUUCCCUACACCAUGGAUUGCCUGAUGGUGAGUAAGUGGUGAUUGCCCACUAAAGGCUUUGCCACACUCAUUACACUUGUAAGGUUUCUCUCCAGGGUGAAUUCUAGUAUGUCCUGCAAGGUGUGAAUCACACCCAAAAUCCUUGUCACAAACCUUACAUUUGUAUGGUUUCUCUCCAGUAUGAAUUCACCUAUGUCUUUCAAGCUGUGAUUUGCGACUGAAAACUUUGUCACAGGUUUCUCUCCAGUAUGAGUUCACUGAUGAACUGCAAGGUAUGAAUGAUGACUGUAAAAUUGGCCACAUUUAUCACACUUGUAAGAUCUCUCUUCAUUAUAGGUUCUCC